rnacentral:rRNA from 1 species
AACGCUAGCUACAGGCUUAACACAUGCAAGUCGAGGGGCAGCAUGAACUUAGCUUGCUAAGUUUGAUGGCGACCGGCGCACGGGUGAGUAACACGUAUCCAACCUUCCGUUUACUCAGGGAUAGCCUUUCGAAAGAAAGAUUAAUACCUGAUGGUAUGGUGAGAUUGCAUGAUAGCACCAUUAAAGAUUUAUUGGUAAACGAUGGGGAUGCGUUCCAUUAGGUAGUAGGCGGGGUAACGGCCCACCUAGCCGACGAUGGAUAGGGGUUCUGAGAGGAAGGUCCCCCACAUUGGAACUGAGACACGGUCCAAACUCCUACGGGAGGCAGCAGUGAGGAAUAUUGGUCAAUGGGCGAGAGCCUGAACCAGCCAAGUAGCGUGAAGGAUGAAGGUCCUACGGAUUGUAAACUUCUUUUAUACGGGAAUGAAGUUUCCUACGUGUAGGAUUUUGUAUGUACCGUAUGAAUAAGCAUCGGCUAACUCCGUGCCAGCAGCCGCGGUAAUACGGAGGAUGCGAGCGUUAUCCGGAUUUAUUGGGUUUAAAGGGAGCGCAGACGGGAGAUUAAGUCAGUUGUGAAAGUUUGCGGCUCAACCGUAAAAUUGCAGUUGAUACUGGUUUCCUUGAGUGCAGUUGAGGCAGGCGGAAUUCGUGGUGUAGCGGUGAAAUGCUUAGAUAUCACGAAGAACUCCGAUUG